GAACACCGGAACCCUCAGGAAGCUUCGAGAAGCCGCCCGCGCGGAGCCCCCAUGGAGAAGGAGAAGCAGAAGCAGGGGGCCGACGGCGCCCUCCUCCUCGCGCUGCGCUGCUCCAGGGCGUCUCUCGUCCUCUCCUCUCUCCGCCAGCCACCCCCCUCGACGGCGACGACCCGCCGGACCUCAUCCUCAGCGGUAACCCGGAACCCCACGCCUCCUCCGCUUCCCCGUAGCAUGUGCGAUGCUUAGCUCCGACGCGUCUGUCUUACCGUCGCGCUUUCUCUCGUCCCAGGAGUUCGAGCUGCGGAACGCGCGCCUCCUCGACGCCGAGCUCGCGGCGGCGCGGCGCGCGGCUGCCAGAAGCGCGCGGAUAUCCGCCGCUGAGAUUCUCUUCGUCGUUGCUCUGGUCCCCCUCCUCAUGCUCUUCGUUGCGCUUCUCGCGAGCGCUGCCGCGGAAGCGGUCGCUUGACCCGCGUCGACGACGUCAUGAGAUUCUGCGGCGACCGAACCCAAAGCCUCUGUGUUAAUUCCCCCCUUCCGGGCUCCGUAAGUUGACUCUGUUGUUCUUCAGCUGAGAAAGGAAGCUACGAUUGUGGUGCGGGCCUGUUUGGUGUUUUCGGUCUGCACGGUAGGUGUUCGAUCAAAUGCAUGUUCCUUUGUAGAUGUGUGCACAGAGUAAGGCUAAGGUUGUAGUGAUAAUUAGGAGAUCGGAAGAAAUCAUAGUGUGACAAAUGGUGCCCAUUCAUUGGGUUGCAUUUAUUUACUGUUUUCUGAUCCAAUUAUGCUGAAGGAAUGGUAGAUGCAGGGAUAUGCCUUGCAGUGUUACUGCUUGUGUGCCAUGAUCCAUAGAUUGUGAAAAGGGCACUGGCGAUGAAAUCUCGCGAUGGGUGUUAUGUCAGGUUGCUAGUCUAUGACUAUUCUUUCAAGUGAAAAAUAAAUGCAUUUGAGCUUAGUACAUUGUGCAUCGCAUUGUAGGCAGCAUCCUCAUCAGGAUCAUGCAUUGCUUUGUUUCUCCUCACUCCUUAGUAUGGGCAAGGGUGGCGUUUGUCAUGCAUCCUCAUUAGGAUCAUGCAUUGAGCUUAGACUUUUCGCUUAUUUUACUUUGAGAAGCUGAUAGAAACAUAGAGAUGUAAAAUUAUAGAUGAACUUGUGGUCGAUGUGCACGAUGCAAAAGCUCAUUUGGCAUUGUCUUUUAGUGAACUACUUGCCCCCUGCAAAUUACUUGUUAUUUAACUGUGUAAACUUAUCAGAUAUUUAGCAUUGUAUCAAAAUACAGACCCAAUAUUACAUCUACUGUAAAUAUUUUUGUUGAAAUUAUUUUGAUUUAGAGUUUUAAGUUGUUGGCAAAAGAAAUGAAGGCAUUGUAAUACAUGGCCCGCCAUACAAAACUACAGGGUUCCAUAUCAAUAAUAAAGAAAAACAUAUUUCUAUCUUCCACUUCUCAUGCAUUGCAACUUCAUUUUUUACCAACAAUUUUGACAAAUUUUCAACAAGAAUCAAAUAUGGACGUUGAUGUUUUGUACAUAAAUCAUGCAUUCUGUCUUAGCAUAAUAGUGUCCCUCAAUUUGUGCAAUGUCAUGCCUAGAGGUGAUUCCACGGUUGAUCCUAUUUUUCCGCUUGCUCCUUUUUCUCUAGUUAUUAAGUAUUUAUGUAGUUUAGCCAUGUAAGCUAAUGCAAUUAUCCGUGUAUAUUUACUUAGAAUUACUAAAGCUUCCUCGCAAACGCUAAAUUUGGCAGUGAUGUGAAUUAUGAUAAUCUGGUAUUCUCAACCAGCAUUUGUCUACUUUCCGUAUGACUAAUCAACAUUGUCCUGCUUUCGAGGCUAUUUGCUUACAGUAGAUCAUAAUACAAGUUCAACACGAUGCAAUGUAGCAACACUAAACCAAGCCUAAGGUGAUGGCUGAAUGUUUUCGAAAUUAGUGUUUUCGUUGUCGAUUGUGUAAUGCCUUCAACCUACUAGUUUGUUUAUUUAUUGAUCUAGUAGUUUUUAUACAGCUCCACUAUGCUAUGCAACACUGGAUGAUAAUUAAAAUAUAAUAUCAUGAAUUUCUUACUGCUGAUGCAAUUGCAUCGACCAACCAAACCUUGCUUCUUAUUACCGUACGCAUAUACAUGUCGAUUACUAAUUCCGGGUUUUAGACACUUGUGCCACUGCAUGUGCUAGCAUCACUUACUGACGGUCGGAAUUUUUUGUUGUUGCCACUCUAGCUCUUGUCCAUUUUCCCUAUACCACUCUUAAAUUUCAAACCUUGCUUCUUAUUACCGUACGCAUAUACAUGUCGAUUACUAAUUCCGGGUUUUAGACACUUGUGCCACUGCAUGUGCUAGCAUCACUUACUGACGGUCGGAAUUUUUUGUUGUUGCCACUCUAGCUCUUGUCCAUUUUCCCUAUACCACUCUUAAAUUUGACAUUUCACUGUUGCCACUCUAGCUUUUAACAAUGCUUCACAGUCUGCCACUCUGUAUAGUCAAUGCUCCUUUUUGACCAAACGGAGUAGGGAAAAGACCAUCUCGCACUCAGUUUUUUCUUUUUCUUUUGCCACUCCAGUUUUCGUCAUUUUGAUCUUGCCAUUGGAGCAACUUCUGAAUGAAUUUAUUAGUCCUAAUUCAGUCUCCGAUUUUGGCAUGGCAUAUUCAGAAAUAUAACAUCACACAUAAUUACAUUAUUUUUCCUUUUGUAUGGUUGUGACUUAACUUGAUGCUGUAUUUUUUCUUAAUAUGCAGUAUGCAAUAUGCAUAGCCUGGUGAAAGAAAUACCCUUAUGAAACCGUGAUACCUGAAACUGGGCGAAGGCCGAUCAAUUUUUUCCAUCAUGAGGAACAUUUGCGUCAUCUUAUUGAAUUCUUCUGUGCUCCUAAAUUUCUGUUAGGACAAAAAGGAUAGCACGAAUUAAUCGAGUGUUUUAGAAAAAUCAUUGUCUUAGCUUUCACGGCGCACUUCCAAUUACUGCAACCUGAGCGUGAGAUGGCCAACUAUACGUUUCCCAGCCAUCCAAGACAGCAGUGUAGUAUCCGCUCAAGCACACUAUCAAAGAUCCAAAACUGUUCUCUGAUGGCCACGGUGGACUGAUCAACAUGAACACAGCAGCACAUAUUAAUUGCACGUACUAAAGGCUCUGCUUCCGAUUACUUGUGGUAGCACCUGGAUAUGUCAUACAGUAUAUCCUAAGAGCAUCUCCAACGGCCGCCGAACGCCGCGCGUAAAAGAUGGCUUUAGAGCGCACCCAUCGUCUGGUUUGGCGCGGCGCUAAAAUGCAGCGCGCGCACCCCUCCAGCAGCCGCGCAAAAAUUGCAGCGCGCGCUCAUUAUACAAACUAGGAUGUAGGCAUUGGAAGCAUAGAAACUAGAUAGAUUGCAUAGGAUUUUAAACGAUACAAAGGUAUUUUACAUCGGAAACAUAGAUUGCAUAAUUUAAAAAC
rnacentral:lncRNA from 1 species